GAGUUUGAUCCGGCUCAGGACGAACGCUGGCGGCGUGCCUAAUACAUGCAAGUCGAGCGCAGGAAGCCGUCUGAACCCUUCGGGGGGACGACGGUGGAAUGAGCGGCGGACGGGUGAGUAACACGUAAAGAACCUGCCCAUAGGUCUGGGAUAACCACGAGAAAUCGGGGCUAAUACCGGAUGUGUCAUCGGACCGCAUGGUCCGCUGAUGAAAGGCGCUCCGGCGUCGCCCAUGGAUGGCUUUGCGGUGCAUUAGCUAGUUGGUGGGGUAACGGCCCACCAAGGCGACGAUGCAUAGCCGACCUGAGAGGGUGAUCGGCCACACUGGGACUGAGACACGGCCCAGACUCCUACGGGAGGCAGCAGUAGGGAAUCUUCCACAAUGGACGAAAGUCUGAUGGAGCAACGCCGCGUGAACGAUGAAGGCUUUCGGGUCGUAAAGUUCUGUUGUAAGGGAAGAACAAGUGCCGCAGGCAAUGGCGGCACCUUGACGGUACCUUGCGAGAAAGCCACGGCUAACUACGUGCCAGCAGCCGCGGUAAUAC
rnacentral:rRNA from 1 species